rnacentral:rRNA from 1 species
GUGAACGCUGGCGGCAGGCCUAACACAUGCAAGUCGAACGGCAGCACAGGGGAGCUUGCUCCUUGGGUGGCGAGUGGCGGACGGGUGAGGAAUACAUCGGAAUCUGCCUUAUCGUGGGGGAUAACGUAGGGAAACUUACGCUAAUACCGCAUACGACCUACGGGUGAAAGCGGAGGACCUUCGGGCUUCGCGCGAUAAGAUGAGCCGAUGUCGGAUUAGCUAGUUGGCGGGGUAAGGGCCCACCAAGGCGACGAUCCGUAGCUGGUCUGAGAGGAUGAUCAGCCACACUGGAACUGAGACACGGUCCAGACUCCUACGGGAGGCAGCAGUGGGGAAUAUUGGACAAUGGGCGCAAGCCUGAUCCAGCCAUGCCGCGUGUGUGAAGAAGGCCUUCGGGUUGUAAAGCACUUUUGUUGGGGUAAG